GCUCCAGUGGACCAGGCCUCUGGACUUCUUCUACCCGCUUCCUUCAUUCAUUACACCUUUACUGAGCACUGACUGCAUUCUAGACCUUGCGAGCUAGGGGUGAAUGGAGGCAGAAGAAAUCCCUGCUGUCAUAGAUUGGAUCUUCCAGUGGGAACCAGGUGAAGCUAAAGUACAGAGGAAUGGAGUAGCUACCAAGCAUGAGCCCAUCCCUGUGACAUUACACGUGUGUGCUUGACUCCACAGCAAGCUACCUCUCUCAGCCUCCUGGUAAAACAAGGGUUAUGUUGGAGAACAAAUGUGAUAAUGUACCUGAAAGCUAAAACCUUCCAGUGUUAUGUAAAUGAAAGGUGGUAAUUAAAAACCUCCA